rfam:Salmo salar isolate Sally breed double haploid chromosome ssa21, whole genome shotgun sequence.
CCCUGUAGCUCAGUUGGUAGAGCAUGGUGUUUGCAACACCAGGGUUGUGGGUUCGUUUCCCACGAGGG